rnacentral:rRNA from 1 species
ACGGAAGGCAGCAGUGGGGAAUAUUGCACAAUGGGGGAAACCCUGAUGCAGCGACGCCGCGUGAGUGAAGAAGUAUUUCGGUAUGUAAAGCUCUAUCAGCAGGAAAGAAAAUGACGGUACCUGACUAAGAAGCCCCGGCUAACUACGUGCCAGCAGCCGCGGUAAUACGUAGGGGGCAAGCGUUAUCCGGAUUUACUGGGUGUAAAGGGAGCGUAGACGGCUUUGCAAGUCUGAAGUGAAAGCCCGGGGCUCAACCCCGGAACUGCUUUGGAAACUGUAGAGCUAGAGUGCAGGAGAGGUAAGUGGAAUUCCUAGUGUAGCGGUGAAAUGCGUAGAUAUUAGGAGGAACACCAGUGGCGAAGGCGGCUUACUGGACUGUAACUGACGUUGAGGCUCGAAGGCGCGGGGAGCAAACAGGAUUAGAUACCCUGGUA